rnacentral:rRNA from 1 species
UGGGGAAUAUUGCACAAUGGGCGCAAGCCUGAUGCAGCCAUGCCGCGUGUGUGAAGAAGGCCUUCGGGUUGUAAAGCACUUUCAGCGAGGAGGAAGGUGGUGAGCUUAAUACGCUCAUCAAUUGACGUUACUCGCAGAAGAAGCACCGGCUAACUCCGUGCCAGCAGCCGCGGUAAUACGGAGGGUGCAAGCGUUAAUCGGAAUUACUGGGCGUAAAGCGCACGCAGGCGGUUUGUUAAGUCAGAUGUGAAAUCCCCGGGCUCAACCUGGGAACUGCAUUUGAAACUGGCAAGCUAGAGUCUCGUAGAGGGGGGUAGAAUUCCAGGUGUAGCGGUGAAAUGCGUAGAGAUCUGGAGGAAUACCGGUGGCGAAGGCGGCCCCUGGACGAAGACUGACGCUCAGGUGCGAAAGCGUGGGGAGCAAAACAGGAUUAGAUACCCUGGUAGUCCACGCUGUAAAACGAUGUCGAUUUUGGAGGUUGUGCCCCUUGAGGCGUGGCUUCCGGAGCUAACGCGUUAAAUCGACCGCCUGGGGAGUACGGCCNCAAGGUU